AAAAUGGAACCCGAGAACUGCAGGCCCAAGAGAGUGAAACCCUACUCCAAAGCCCUCCCAUCUCUUAUAAAAGGGACAUCACUCCUAGGGUUUCACCACAAGAGAGACAACAAGCGAAGCCCUGCCCGACUAGAACCUCGCCGCCGCCUCCCAUCGUCGACGACCAGCCGCCGCCGCCGGUCACCGCCGCCCGCUCGCCAGCCACCGAUCGUCCCGCUCGCAGCCCGAGCCGUCGAUCCCGAGCCCCCAGUCGUCGCCUCCUUGAUUCCUUCUCUUGUAACCUUCUCAGAUCUGAACCUCAAGAUCCGGAGAGGUGACCAACUCGUUUCCACUUCCUAGAACCAGAUCUACCCCUUCAAGAGACUAAGGUACGGCUGGGAGGGAGCAGGAGUAGGAGUCCGUAUGGUGCCAGUUGUUUUUCAAGUUCUUUUACUUUUCGAACUAUUUCCAUUUGAGUUUUUUUUUCGUCUUUGGAUAACCUAUCCUCGAGUUAAGUUUCGGUUUUG